CAGUCGCCGCGGGAAUACGAAGGGUGCAAGCGUCAAUCGGAAUUACUGGGCGUAAAGCGUGCGUAGGCGGUGAGUUAAGUCUGCUGUGAAAUCCCCGGGCUCAACCUGGGAAUGGCAAUGGAUACUGGCAAGCUAGAGUGUGUCAGAGGAUGGUGGAAUUCCCGGUGUAGCGGUGAAGUGCGUAGAGAUCGGGAGGAAUAUCAGUGGCGAAGGCGGCCAUCUGGGACAACACUGACGCUGAGGCACGAAAGCGUGGGGAGCAAACAGGAUUAGAUACCCCAGUAGUCCCUGUCUCUUAUAC
rnacentral:rRNA from 1 species